ACCCAGCGACGCCGCGUGCGGGAUGAAGGCCUUCGGGUUGUAAACCGCUUUCAGCAGGGAAGAAGCGAAAGUGACGGUACCUGCAGAAGAAGCACCGGCUAACUAUGUGCCAGCAGCCGCGGUAAUACAUAGGGUGCAAGCGUUGUCCGGAAUUAUUGGGCGUAAAGAGCUCGUAGGUGGUUCGUCACGUCGGAUGUGAAACUCUGGGGCUUAACCCCAGACCUGCAUUCGAUACGGGCGAGCUUGAGUAUGGUAGGGGAGUCUGGAAUUCCUGGUGUAGCGGUGGAAUGCGCAGAUAUCAGGAGGAACACCAAUGGCGAAGGCAGGACUCUGGGCCAUUACUGACACUGAGGAGCGAAAGCGUGGGGAGCGAACAGGAUUAGAUACCCUGGUAGUCCACGCCGUAAACGGUGGGCACUAGUUGUGGGGACCUUCCACGGUCUCUGCGACGCAGCUAACGCAUUAAGUGCCCC
rnacentral:rRNA from 1 species